UUCCAGACUCCUACGGGAGGCAGCAGUGGGGAAUAUUGGGCAAUGGGCGCAAGCCUGACCCAGCAACGCCGCGUGAAGGAAGAAGGCUUUCGGGUUGUAAACUUCUUUUGUCAGGGAAGAGUAGAAGACGGUACCUGACGAAUAAGCCACAGCUAACUACGUGCCAGCAGCCGCGGUAAUACGUAGGUGGCAAGCGUUGCCCGGAUUUACUGGGUGUAAAGGGCGUGUAGCCGGGUUGACAAGUCAGAUGUGAAAUCCUGCGGCUUAACCGCAGAACUGCAUUUGAAACUGUUGAUCUUGAGUACUGGAGAGGCAGACGGAAUUCCUAGUGUAGCGGUGAAAUGCGUAGAUAUUAGGAGGAACACCAGUGGCGAAGGCGACUUUCUGGACUGUACCUGACGCUGAGGCGCGAAAGCGUGGGUAGCGAACGGGAUUAGAUACCCCUGUAU
rnacentral:rRNA from 1 species